AGCUGGUUCUCCCCGAAAGCUAUUUAGGUAGCGCCUCGUGAAUUCAUCUCCGGGGGUAGAGCACUGUUUCGGCUAGGGGGCCAUCCCGGCUUACCAACCCGAUGCAAACUGCGAAUACCGGAGAAUGUUAUCACGGGAGACACACGGCGGGUGCUAACGUCCGUCGUGAAGAGGGAAACAACCCAGACCGCCAGCUAAGGUCCCAAAGUCAUGGUUAAGUGGGAAACGAUGUGGGAAGGCCCAGACAGCCAGGAUGUUGGCUUAGAAGCAGCCAUCAUUUAAAGAAAGCGUAAUAGCUCACUGGUCGAGUCGGCCUGCGCGGAAGAUGUAACGGGGCUAAACCAUGCACCGAAGCUGCGGCAGCGAACGUAUCACCCAAGACAACUUUACGGAGUUGACGAUUGACGGAGCGAAGCGACGUCAAAGCGUUCAUUAAAGUCGAGUUGGCUUAGGGAUACGUUCGUUGGGUAGGGGAGCGUUCUGUAAGCCUGUGAAGGUGUGUCGUGAGGCAUGCUGGAGGUAUCAGAAGUGCGAAUGCUGACAUAAGUAACGAUAAAGCGGGUGAAAAGCCCGCUCGCCGGAAGACCAAGGGUUCCUGUCCAACGUUAAUCGGGGCAGGGUGAGUCGACCCCUAAGGCGAGGCCGAAAGGCGUAGUCGAUGGGAAACGGGUUAAUAUUCCCGUACUUGGUGUUACUGCGAAGGGGGGACGGAGAAGGCUAUGUUGGCCGGGCGACGGUUGUCCCGGUUUAAGCGUGUAGGUGUGUGUUCCAGGUAAAUCCGGUUCACUUUAACACUGAGGCGUGACG
rnacentral:rRNA from 1 species